UUACCCAAAGAGAAGAUUUCCCAGAGCAGGACACCAAAGGCCCACACGUCACUCUGAGUGGUAAAGACCUUGUCGAAGAUGGACUCCGGAGACAUCCACUUGAGAGGCAGGCGAGCCUAACGGCCAAUCAGGGCUCUGGCUACAACGAGAGAGAAGGGUUUGUUUGCAAGUGGUGCCAUUGGAGAAAGUACCUGCCAUUCACGGUGACAUGUCCGAGCUGGCCGCCAUUUUGGAGCACCUUUUGAUGUCUAUCCAUGACUAUUGCGGCCAGCGUGAAGACGGCGAGAAAAAGUCUUUCUAUUUACUUUAGCCCUUUGAAACUUCCCGUGGAAACGGCUCGAGAGCUUCCUGAUGGCGGAUUGUGUUUAUCUUUGCCGAACACCUCCCGAAAUAAAGCCGAGCUGCCAGUCCGAGGAAAUGCGCCGUGCGGGACGAGGAGACGGGAAGGGGAUGUCCAGGUGGUCCAGUCCCACAGAGUUGGAAGCCACGCAACGGAACACACCUGACACCAGAGCCCGGGCCACGGUCGCAAC